rnacentral:rRNA from 1 species
GCAGAGCAUCCUACGGGAGGCAGCAGUGGGGAAUAUUGCACAAUGGGCGCAAGCCUGAUGCAGCCAUGCCGCGUGUAUGAAGUAAGGCCUUCGGGUUGUAAAGUACUUUCAGCAGUGAGGAAGGUGGGUAUGUUAAUAGCAUAUUCAUUUGACGUUAGCUGCAGAAGAAGCACCGGCUAACUCCGUGCCAGCAGCCGCGGUAAUACGGAGGGUGCGAGCGUUAAUCGGAAUUACUGGGCGUAAAGCGCAUGCAGGUGGUUUGUUAAGUCAGAUGUGAAAGCCCGGGGCUCAACCUCGGAAUUGCAUUUGAAAACUGGCAAACUAGAGUACUGUAGAGGGGGUAGAAUUUCAGGUGUAGCGUGAAAUGCGUAGAGAUCUGAAGGAAUACCGGUGGCGAAGGCGGCCCCCUGGACAGAUACUGACACUCAGAUGCGAAAGCGUGGGGAGCAAACAGGAUUAGAUACCCUGGUAG